rnacentral:rRNA from 1 species
GUAGUCUUGGCCUUAAACGAUGUUCACUAGGUGUUGGGGGGUAACCCUCGGUGCCGCAGCUAACGCAUUAAGUGAACCGCCUGGGGACUACGGCCGCAAGGUUGAAACUCAAAGGAAUUGGCGGGGGACCGCACAAGCGGUGGAGCAUGUGGCUUAAUUCGAUGCAACGCGAAGAACCUUACCAGGGCUUGACAUGUAUCUGCAAGUCGCCGAAAAGCGAUCGCUUUCGAAGGUGAUACACAGGUGGUGCAUGGCUGUCGUCAGCUCGUGUUGUGAAAUGUUGGGUUAAGUCCCGCAACGAGCGCAACCCUCAUCGUUUGUUACCAGCGAGUAAAGUCGGGGACUCGAACGAAACUGCCUCUGUAAAGAGGA